CCUACGGGAGGCUGCAGUGGGGAAUAUUGGACAAUGGGCGAAAGCCUGAUCCAGCCAUGCCGCGUGUGUGAAGAAGGCCUUCGGGUUGUAAAGCACUUUCAGUGGGGAAGAAAGCCUUGGGGCUAAUACCCUCGAGGAAGGACAUCACCCACAGAAGAAGCACCGGCUAACUCCGUGCCAGCAGCCGCGGUAAUACGGAGGGUGCGAGCGUUAAUCGGAAUUACUGGGCGUAAAGCGCGCGUAGGCGGUCUGAUAAGCCGGUUGGGAAAGCCCCGGGCUCAACCUGGGAACGGCAUCCGGAACUGUCAGGCUAGAGUGCAGGAGAGGAAGGUAGAAUUCCCGGUGUAGCGGUGAAAUGCGUAGAGAUCGGGAGGAAUACCAGUGGCGAAGGCGGCCUUCUGGACUGACACUGACGCUGAGGUGCGAAAGCGUGGGUAGCAAACAGGAUUAGAUACCCUAGUAGUC
rnacentral:rRNA from 1 species